AAUAUAAUACAUUGAGAUGCAAAUCAUUUUUUUUUGGGACUUUAGAGCAUCUUUUUCCGUAACAGCUGGUGGUAAAAUCUCUUUGCUGUGCUGUAGAUGGAAGCAGUGGAUGUUCUGUACGGAUUUCUAACUAAUUGUUCCAGCUACCUGCAGUCUCCAGGGAUUUAAUGCAGUUACAAUAAUGUGCACAGAGCUGAUUACGUAAAUAUGGCAGGAUGGGAAAAAAAUCUCUACAAAUUUCAUUUUGGUAGCCAAAAAGCCCCUACACCCGUGAGUGGACAAUAUAAUGCUGCAUUAUUAUCACAGGAUGCAGAUGCAGUAUUUCCAGGAUGUGGAGUCGCAUUUCCGAACCUACAGUUGGAUGCAAGCAUAACCCCUGGAAUCACCCACAUACACUGACACAUUUGCCCAAAUUAUAGAGGAAAUGGAGAAUGUCCCCGAAUCAGCCCUAAACUUCAGCAGAACUCCGCUGCACUCCUCAUACCAGUACUCUGUCUCCAAUGACAACCCCUCCUAUGCCGAUUACAAGCCUAUGCAAAUGGAGCUCAUCCCUCUUCCUAGAGCCGUCAUCUAUCUUCUCAUGGCAGCCGUGGUCGUGGUAGGUGCUGCAUACGCCAUAGUCGGACAUCUCAUCAAAGACCUGGCACAUGACAUUGCAGAUUGCAUCCUGGGCCCGCAGUCAGAAAGCAAACGUUUUCCAUCACAUGACCUGCCGCCUAUGAGGAAGUGUCUCCUGCCUUCAUCUACAGAAAAAAUGAAUAUUUACUGCUUGCCUGACCAGCCUGAGGUGUGUGUGUCUAUGGGUACAAGCCAAGAGAUCCCAACCAACCUCUCAUACCUACCAUCAUCAUACGGCAGAGACUGUGGCCAGAGGAAAUCUUCCCUGCUGAAUGUUUGACCAAAGGCCAGAGGAAACGUCACUGUUCACAUCUGUGAGGUCCCUGCAUGUAACCCGGCUGUCCUAGUGCCCUAUUAUCCGUCACACUGACGCCUGCGGGUGAGAGCAUCAGGACUAAUGUCACAGUCCACACUUGUCUGAAGUGUAAUGGGUGAAUGAGGCCUUAUCCGUAAACUUUGUCGCUACAGUUGAUAACCCACAUUGAGGCACCCUUAUUGGUUUCCCUAAAAAAGUCCACAAGGUCCUUGUUGGGGAAUAACUGUCUCAUACUGGGCCCGUGUUUCUAAUGCUCCAGACUUUAUAUUGACAUCUGUCAUACACAUCUCCUCAGUCUUGUUCAUCCUUGGCUGUCCGGAGAUGCUGGGAGUUGUAGUUGUGCAGCAGCUGAAGGCACCCUGGAUGGGAAACACUGCAAUAGGCACUUCUUGGAGACAUUAUGACAUACUUAAAAGCUGCCCCAUCAUUGCACCCAUGCCAAUCAGGACCCAUGAGACUUAUUAACCUAUAGAAUCCCAAUAGGAUUUCACAGUCUGUGCUGCCUCCUCGUUGUGAGAAGAGAAGACCAAGUUAUGUAGCGCCUCCUAUUAGUCAAUAUUGAAAGAUGCAGACUCCUUUUUAUAAGUUCCUCCUCCCUGGUAGUUACCCUGUGGGAGGAGUAGAUGCCACAACACAAGCGCCUCCCUAUUACCCUGUGGGAGGAGUAAAUGCCAUGUCACAAGCCCCCUCCCUGUUACCCUGUAGUGGGAGGAGUAGAUGACAUGACAAGCUCCUCCCUAUUACCCUGUGGGAGGAGUAAAUGUCACAUCACAAGCUCCUCCCUGUUAACCUGUAGUGGGAGGAGUAAAUGUCACAUCACAAGCUCCUCCCUAUUACCCUGUGGGAGGAGUAAAUGUCACAUCACAAGCUCCUCCCUGUUACCCUGUAACACAUCACAAGCUCCUCACUAUUACCCUGUGGGAGGAGUAGACACCACAUCACAAGCUCCUCACUAUUACCCUGUGGGAGGAGUAGACACCACAUCACAAGCUCCUCACUAUUACCCUGUGGGAGGAGUAGACACCACAUCACAAGCUCCUCACUAUUACCCUGUGGGAGGAGUAGACACCACAUCACAAGCUCCUCACUAUUACCCUGUGGGAGGAGUAGACACCACAUCACAAGCUCCUCACUAUUACCCUGUGGGAGGAGUAGACACCACAUCACAAGCUCCUCCCUGUUAACCUGUAGUGGGAGGAGUAAAUGUCACAUCACAAGCUCCUCCCUAUUACCCUGUGGGAGGAGUAAAUGUCACAUCACAAGCUCCUCCCUGUUACCCUGUAACACAUCACAAGCUCCUCACUAUUACCCUGUGGGAGGAGUAGACACCACAUCACAAGCUCCUCACUAUUACCCUGUGGGAGGAGUAGACACCACAUCACAAGCUCCUCACUAUUACCCUGUGGGAGGAGUAGACACCACAUCACAAGCUCCUCACUAUUACCCUAAGGUAGUAGUAUACCUCAUGCCACACAGCCAUUGUCUUACUAGACAUAAGUAGAAAAGCCUUUUUUUUACCUGGACGCACAAUGUUUUUAUAAAAAAAUAA